rnacentral:rRNA from 1 species
UUCGCAAUGCCCGAAAGGGUGACGAAGCGACGCCGCGUGCGGGAAGAAGGCCUUCGGGUUGUAAACCGCUGUCGGGAGUUAGGAAGUGCAAGGAUGUUAAUAGCGUUCUUGCUUGACUAAGGCUCCGGAGGAAGCCACGGCUAACUCUGUGCCAGCAGCCGCGGUAAUACAGAGGCGGCAAGCGUUGUUCGGAAUUAUUGGGCGUAAAGAGCACGUAGGCGGCUGUGUAAGUCGGUUGUGAAAGCCUUCCGCUUAACGGAAGAACGGCAUCCGAUACUGCAUAGCUUGAGUGCGGGAGGGGAGAGUGGAACUUCUGGUGGAGCGGUGAAAUGCGUAGAUAUCAGAAGGAACACCGGCGGCGAAGGCGACUCUCUGGCCCGUAACUGACGCUGGGUGUGCGAAAGCUAGGGGAGCAAACGGGAUUAGAUACCCCGGUAGUCCUAGCCGUAAACGAUGGGCACUAAGUAGAGGGGUUUU